GUUUUUUGAACUAUUUGAUGAUUGAUAUUGAAAUAGAAAAGCAAUAUGUAUGGACAUUCAUGUUAGAUAAGCAAAAAUUCCUUCUUAAAGCUUUUGAGGAAGUGUUACCAAAUGUUUCUCAUAGAUUUUGUGCCCAACACUUGCUCAAUAAUUUCAGAGCAAAUGGAUUCCCUAGUCAUGCGUUUAAAAAGGCUUUUGGAAAGUGACUAAAGCAACAAUCAUUGAAGCAUUUAAUAUGCAUAUGUUGGAGAUAUGUGAACUGGAUAAAAAAAUGUAUGAAUGGCUUUUGAGUAUGUUACCAAGUGAAUGAUCCAGAUCUCACUUCUCACCACUUUCAAAGUGUGACAUUCUAUUAAACAAUGUAUGUGAGGUCUUUAAUAGUCUCAUUACUGAUGCUAGAGAUAAGCCCAUUAUCAAACUUUGGGAGAUCAUAAGGCAUAUACUCAUGGCUAGGAUUGCAUUCAAUAGGAAUAAAGCUGAAAGGUGGGCUAGAACUAUAUCCAGUAGGAAUGAAGUUGAACAGUGGACUUUGGGUAAUAUUUAUCCAAAUAUAAAAAAGAAAUUACAUAGAAACAUGAAAGGAGCUUCUGGUUAUAUUCCUAGAAAGGCUAACUCAGAGAAUUAUGAAAUCGUAGGGUCUACUAAUAUUGACACUUGGGUUGUGGACUUGUACAACAAGAUGUGUAGUUGUAGAAAAUGGGAAUUAUCUGGAAUACGUUGCAAACAUGCUAUUUGUGCUAUACUGAUGAAAAAAGAUGGCCUUGUAGACUAUGUUCAUGAUUGCUACAAGGUUGAGAUAUAUAGGAAAACAUAUACAACCAUAUUGCCUAUGAACGGGCAAGAUUUAUAGCCUAAAUCAUCUAAUCCGCAACCAUUGCCGCUACUUUAUUUGAAAAAUAAGAAAGGAAAGAAAUAAAGAUUAAGAAAGAAAGAAGUUGAUGAGCCUGGAGCCUCGAGGACUAGGAUGAAAAGAAAACAAAAAGCAGUUGAUUGUAGCAAGUGUGGUCAAUCCGAUCAUAACAAAAGAAGUUGUUCUUUAUUUAAUGUUGUUGAACUAGAACCAACAAACUAUCCUUCAUCUUUGGACUCUAUUAUGGUUGAGAACAUAUCAAGUUGGACGCAAGAAUUUGCUUCUUUUGGUGACAAACUUUCGGGGAGAUACAUAUAUCAAUAAUGGUUGUCUUACUUUACUAUAAUGAAACUUAUUUAGCUUAAUUCCUCUUAUUUCCUUUUUAGGUUAGAAAAGGAUAGUAGCAGAAGAGUGCGCUUCAAGUUGCAUAGCGUCAUAGAUGCUGACAGCCGUUAUCAUUUUGUUCCUUUCAUGAUGACAUAAUUAAUUUGGGAAUGAAUUAAGUUCAUUUUGUAAUGUGAUGACUUCUAAGUGAAUUAAGUUCAUUUUGUAUGACUUAAUUGUGAAGUUUACAGACUUUGAGUUUCUGUAUUUUGCGCUUAAUUUCACGUUUCUAGAUUUCUUUCAAUUUUUAUACCAUGAUUUAUUGUAAUCUGCACUUUUUUCUAAACUAUGUGCAUAUCUUUUGGGCUUCUGCACAUAUUUUAACCUUGUAUGUAUAGCAUAAUUCUCCGGCCAAGGAGGUUUAGAUGAACCUUCUUGUGACUCCCUAGCUCUGUCAGUGUGACCAUCUCAUAUAAAAGCAUAAUAUGUUAGGGAGAGAGUAUUGUUUAUAUAUUUCAAUAGAUAUGCUUGGCCCUCUAUAUAGUGAUGAAUCAUGUUUGGUCUUGCUUUCACAAUUUUCAUUCUUUAUGCUGUUGGCAAAUUGCUUGAAGAAUAUUUAAGACCUAUUUUGUGGGUUAUGCUUUUUUUCCAUACCUCUAAGAAGAAUUCAGCAAGCCCUUGUUGUAUUCUGGUCUGAACCUUUAAAUCUAGGCCUUACCGAGACUAUUUUGGCUUUUCCUAUUGUUGUAUUUAGGAUUUUUGUUGGCACACUUGUUGAUAUAAGAGAAAUGAUUUUCAGUGUUGUUCUUAGGAGACAAAAAGGUAGUGUCUUGAGGCAUAAUCAAAGUGAAUUUCUUAUGUUGUAGAGGUGGCUAGUCUCUUUUUGGGUGUUUGUCAUGGAAUAUGAGAAAAUUAGUCUGUUUUGAUCAGUUGCUCUUCUUGCAGUGGGAUUUAUGUUUCCUGCUAAUAGUGUGGACUCCAUGAUGGAUGUAGCAAUGUCUUUUAGGAGUCAUAGCUUUUGUAGAUUGUCCAUAUCGACUUUCUUCACUAGGGGGAUAUUGAAAAGAUUGGAAACCAUUUCGUAGAUGGUCAAUGACGAUGGAACUGGGCAAUUUCUAGUGGCUCGAAAGGCUUCCUUGGAUAUCUCAACCAUGAGACUAGUGGAUAUUCCUGAGAAGGCUUGGAAGCUUCUUAAUUUAUUGGAGGAUUCAAAAGAUCCCCGGUUCCAGGAUUUCAAGUGAUCAGUAAAAAGAGGUCGUUUGAUUUGCAGACUAAGUUAUUUUAAGAUUGUCGUUGACGGGUUAUAAUCUGCAAUAUGAGAUAAAAUAAUACCAAGUUGAUUCGAGAUAAAUGAGAUAUCACAAAAUGAAAUUUUAUAUUAAGCUUAAUCUUGUGCUGUUUCAUCUUUUAUCUCAUUAACCAAAAGCCCUCUAAUGUAUUGGCACUUAAGUGCAUAAGAAUAAGCUAUUGUAAAGUUGGUAAACAUUACAGAAGACCUUUUAAUGUUAUUUCUCCCAGCAAAUUCACAUGUAGUAUUUCCAAAUUCAACAUAAAAUAAAAUGGUAACUUUCUUUGUCAUCCAUGAGUACUGAGAUUUCUGUCUGUCAACUUCCAAGUACUAAAUAUGACAGACUAACCAGUAACAAAUCACAUGUACCACAGCUCUCCAUCUACCAAUGAUUCAAUUCAAAUUGAUUGAUACCAACAGCUCAAUUCCACAUUGAUCAUUGCCCAAACCAAUCACCAUCUUUCACAUGCAUAGCUUGAGGCAAUUUUCCUCAAAGUACUGUAUUUCCUAUGUUUUGUCUGCAGUUCUUUUAAAGUAUCAAGAACAACUUUUCUACACCGCAAAGAUUAAGAUAAGACCAUUGUACAUCCUAUCCUUCCGUGAACCCACUUAUUGAAUAACACGAAUAUAUGUUGUAUCUGAUUUUCCACAUAGAAAUGUGGAUCAAAAUUGCAAGUACCUAGUUUAUUUUCCAGUAGAAAUGCUAAAGAAAUUGUAGAUAGAACGGUAUUGCACUAAAAUGUAAAGCAAAAAUUGUAGAAGGUCCAAAGUUUAAAGUUUUGAAUUUUAUUAAACCAGCAAAUACAUUGUAAAUAGACAACCAGAAGAUUCAGAAACAACAAAAAUUAAGAGUAGCUUGCAGUAUCACAUGUUCGCACUUUUUAGGGGUUGCACGAAUCAUAGAGUCACUUCAACGGGGAAAAUUUACCAUCUCCUAACAACUAGAAGGAGAAUUACAGAUACAAAUAAAGGUUCUAGAUAUAAAAACUUGUUAAUGAAGCUCAUUGGUUCAACUGCCCUCGGAUUUCUCCAGUGUUGCCAAAUAAAAAGGAAAAUAAAGGUUCUAGAUAUAAACACUUGUUAAUGAAGCUCAUUGCUUCAACUGCCCUCGGAUUUCUCCAGUGUUGCCAAAUAAAAAGGAAAAUAAAGGUUCUAGAUAUAAACACUUGUUAAUGAAGCUCAUUGCUUCAACUGCCCUCGGAUUUCUCCAGUGUUGCCAAAUAAAAAGGAAAAAAAAUAGAGACAAGGUGACAAUGUUAGUACCAAAACCAGCUUCACUUAACAGCAAGUAAUAAGAAGUGAUAACCAAAUACAGCACCAUGAAGAUGGAAAUUAUAAAUUAUAGCAGUUAAAUGUAGUUGAGAUGAAAAAGAGUUCCCAAACAAAAAAAGAUCUCAUAAUACUUCAGAAAGUCAGUCAAGUUCGUCAUUGAUCAACUAAUAGUUUUAUCUGAAUUUUCCAAGCACAAAUCCCUCUGCAUAACAACUUUAGUACACGGUUUUUCCUAAUUGUUCUUUUGAUUAGUUCAGCAGAUAAACCAUGUUGAUUAUCAUUUCUUUAUUGGCUAGGUCUUUCUGUAGCAUCAUCACAUCAAGGGGACAGUAGCCUAAUGGAAGUGCCAGUCAUAGCAUUUCAUGGUGCUUUCCAUGAUAAGACAAAGGAGACUGGUGAGGCAGUGUCUCCUUCACUGGAGCUACACUAGCACAAUAACCUCUAAAUAGAAAUAUUUGAGAGCAAUACGAAAAGGUUCUCAGUCGAUUUACAGAGGGCAUCCAAUUUUUCUAAGAGGAGGUUCUACCUGCGGAAUACAUAGCCAAGAUAAAAACAAGUACUUACUCUGAAAAUAGUUGUAGAGAGGAGAGAAAAAUAUGCAUGAUAUAAAUCAAAAGGUUAGAAGUCCAACUGAAUGUUGAGUGAGGCAUUAGGUGUGUUUAUAUAGAGGGAGAAAAAUGAUGAGAUGGAUCGGUUUAAUUACUCAUGAAAGAUGCCUUGUUNNNNNNNNNNNNNNNNNNNNNNNNNNNNNNNNNNNNNNNNNNNNNNNNNNNNNNNNNNNNNNNNNNNNNNNNNNNNNNNNNNNNNNNNNNNNNNNNNNNNNNNNNNNNNNNNNNNNNNNNNNNNNNNNNNNNNNNNNNNNNNNNNNNNNNAGAUUAUCAAGGUUAAUGGAGAUGGUUGUAGAGACUUAAUUUACAAAAUAACCCUUACGGUCAAGAAUGACACGGAGGAACAUUUUCGAACGUCUAUAUAAAUCUUUGAAGUUCCCAAUCGUCAGGCUAAGGGUAAUGAGAUCUUUUGUACAUUCCUUUUUUUUUUUAAGUUUCCUAAAAAGAGUGACCUACUUUUUUUAAUAUGUUUAAAAAAAUAAUUCCUUUUUUUUACAACACUUUAAUUUCAAAUUUUCGCUUGACAUGCUUAAAAUCAUAAAAUUAAAUAAUAUUUUGAUAUAUUUGACAUAAAUUUAAUUUAAGACAAUAUAAAGUCGAUCUAAUCAUACCACAAAAUUGAUCUACCCACCACUAAAGAGACAUUACAUAGCCAAUGAAAAUAAAAAAUAGGUCACACUCGGGAGCCGCAUUUUGCAUUUAAUAUAUGUGCUUAUAAUUUCCAGCAUCCCAAUCCCUUUUACAGGAAAAUCAACAUGUAGCUCAAACAUGUCCAAUUAUAUAUUUACUUUGUGUUAUUUUUAUUUGUCACAUUUUGAUUUAAC
rnacentral:lncRNA from 1 species